rnacentral:rRNA from 1 species
UACGUAGGGGGCAAGCGUUAUCCGGAUUUACUGGGUGUAAAGGGAGCGCAGGCGGCGUGGCAAGUCAGAUGUGAAAACCCGGGGCCCAACCCCGGGAGUGCAUUUGAAACUGCCAUGCUGGAGUGCCGGAGAGGUAAGCGGAAUUCCUAGUGUAGCGGUGAAAUGCAUAGAUAUCACACAGAACACCGAUUGCGAAGGCAUCUCACGAAUCCGCGAUUGACGCUGAUGCACGAAAGCGUGGGUAUCAAACAGG